UACGUAGGGCGCAAGCGUUGUCCGGAAUUAUUGGGCGUAAAGAGCUCGUAGGCGGCUCGUCGCGUCGACUGUGAAAACCUGGGGCUUAACCCUGGGCUUGCAGUCGAUACGGGCGGGCUAGAGUUCGGUAGGGGAGACUGGAAUUCCUGGUGUAGCGGUGAAAUGCGCAGAUAUCAGGAGGAACACCGGUGGCGAAGGCGGAUCUCUGGGCCAUUACUGACGCUGAGGAGCGAAAGCGUGGGGGAGCGAACAGG
rnacentral:rRNA from 1 species